rnacentral:pre_miRNA from 1 species
GAAUGGAAUAUUCUAGGAGUUGUAGUGUUUCAAACAGAGCUUUGCAAGAACAUACCUGUAUUGGAACACUACAGCUCCAGGAACUUCCUAGUGU